CUACUUCAGAACAUGCUUGCUCAGGCAUGCUUGGCUCCUCUGAAACCCAGCCUCUAAAUAGGGAGGUGAAGUUCUCCUGUUGAUAUAUUUUUUUUGUGUAGCACUCCUCUGUCUAGCUCUGUUUCACUGUGUGGCUCAUCUUUUUACAUCCUGCUGAGUGGGAGGAGGGAUGGACAGUGGAUUCAUCUAAAAAGGGACACACAAAUGAAACAAGGAAAUACAAAACAAGUGUCUGAAGUGGUUUACCUCCCUUACACUGCCUCUGCCUCUGAGUCUUGGGAGAGAGAAACUUCAAACCAGAAGGUGUGAAAUGUGAGGAAGAAGGCGAGGGAACAAAACCGUAGUCUGCAAUUUUGCUGGAGCCAAACGACUCGAUCGGGGGGCCCAUUUGUAACUGCACAGAGAGAGACAAGUCAGAUGGGGGUCAGGAGAUGAGGUGGUUCUCACGUUCAACUUGAAACCCUGGCCUUUGUGUGGCUGGAGCCCAGGCUGUAGCACCGAAGCCAGAAGUGAAAUUAAGAUCUGCUGAAUGCCCCAGCGGGGAGGAGAGGGGAGAGGAGCGGUGCAGGGAGGACACGCAGCUGCUGAUGCUGGAUAAAUGUGAGAUGCCCACUGUGGCAUUCCAUGCCCUCCUGAGGGAGCAGCCAAAUGAGGCAUUGCUUAGUCUGCCUUUCAUCUUAAUACAGGCCUGUUCCUCACUCAGCAGUCUAUGUUCACUGCAUCUUCUGAACGCCUUCAUUUCCCAAAUAGUCUCACCCCAUUUUCAAUGCUUUAAUUGCUUUACCUUGGAACUUUUUCAUGCACUCCUCAUAGGGGGACCUGCAACUCACGGGUGGGAAGAGGAUCUAAUUGACAGUCUCUGUGUCAGUGCACCUCACUGCCUUUAAUUGUGAAUAUGUGACAUGAAUAUUUUUUAUUAUUAUUAAAUUAAUUACGUAGCCCACCAGGUAAGUAUUAGCGCCAAUGUUCGGCCCAGUCCCAAGUUUGUGUUGCCUGGAGUCUUAAUUGACUAGGCUAAAAAGUGGUAGCUAAAAUAAUAUAAUAACAUAAGGUGAGAUAGUUAGCUAGUUAAGUGCAUUAAUAGCUACCCACUCAGUGAAAAGAAUGCAUGUGUGAAUAGUCACUAUUCUCUUCUCACAAAGUUUCUAAUUUGCAUCUUUUACAAAAUGUCAGCAUGUCGUUUGGCCUACAUUUUGGUUAUGAGCGGUGUUGUUCUCUCAUCACAUAUAAAUGAUAUGAUUUGAGUCUGGAUACAGUCUUUAUUUUCUCUCCAUAUUAUCUCAGUGAGGACACUGAGCAUUGCACUACUGGGAGAGUUAUAUGACAGCUUUGUACUGAGCUUUAUUUUGCUUGGUUUCAUUAAUGGUUCCACAUACCUACAUGGUAAUGCUUCUGAAAAGGUUAUUUGUUGUGCAGGCUAAUUAACCCGUCAGUAACAAAUCAAAGUGCUUGUUAAGUUUAAACAUUCCUACCUAAUAUUUACAGUUAUGUUGUGGAAGUCAUUAUUGAGUACGUUGUUUAACCAAAGCUGCUUAUCCCAGGUACCUAGGCUAGUGAUUUGGCCACCCUAGUAUGGAUUUCUUUAUUAAAGACAAAUAAAAUAUAAAUGUCUCAGUGGAUAAGUUUAUCCAGUUAAAACAUACAGUUUUCAGGGGUUAUCACAGUGCUGCUCAACUGACAUCUGUACAUUCAAGAUCUAUGUGUGCAGGUGGAACAUAUGUCAAUAAUUUUAGCUGUCCUUCACCACUUCAACUGUAAAUGCAGCAGUAUGUUUAUAUCUCCACCAAUACUGCCUGACAAUUAUGGAUAAUUCAGAGGAAAUGUAUCAUAAUUGCACAGUACGCGCACAUGUUUAUUAUUCCUUUCUCCUGUGAUUGCAGUAUAUAAAUUACAGGUAAAGGUUAACAGUGGAGUUUAGCUUUCGGUUACUUGAGCUUCAUGAUGAAAGGAGUAGAUAUAUACUCCUGAAGGCUGGUACAUAAUCCAUUUUCUCUCUGCCUUGAACCAGCACAGAUUUUUCCUGAAAUGUAGUGUGUAUCAGACUUAUUUUCCAUAUUCUCUCUUGGUGGUUGCCUCAAAAAAUCCAUUUAAUCUGUGGCACGGCCAGUUGGUAUUUGUAUAAAAGUUUUAAAAAAAUGAAGGCAUUUAAGAAAUACUUUCCAAACCCACACUGAACUGUUGGCCUAUGGAACGGAAGAGAGAACACUGUUUAUGUCUUCUUAAUCAUCACCUCCAGAACCCUGGAAUGCUGUGGGAAGUCCCUCCUCAGAUAUCAGCUUCCAGUCUUAAGACCUGGCAUUAAGCCCUGAAUGUAAAGUGUUAGCCGUGUUAGCAUAACACAUAUAAAUUGCCUGGAAGCCUAAAACCACAGGUGUAUGUUCAUUCCCAUGUUUUCUUAUUUGGAGGGAAAUGGAUUCAGGAAGGACAGAUGAAGUACACGAGUGUGUAUGAAUACUGUUUCUUAGAAAGUCCAGUCAUUCAGACUUGCAUUUAAACUAUACAUACGUACCAAUCAGACAUAACAUUAAAACCAUCUGCUUAAUAUUGUGUAGGUCCCCCUUGUACCACCAAAACAGCUCUGAACCAUCAAGGCAUUGCCUCCACAAGACCUCUGAAGGUGUGCUGUCGUAUCUGGCACCAAGAUGUUAGCAGCAGAUCCUUUAAGCCCUGUAAGUUGCAAGGUGGGGCCGCCAUGGAUCAGACGUGUUUGUCCAGCACAUCCCACAGAUGCUCAAUUGGAUUGAGAUUUCGGGAAUUUGGAGGCCAAGUCAACACCUUUGUCAUGUUCCUCAAACCAUUCCUGAACAAUUUUUGCAGUGUGGAAGGGUGCAUUAUCCUGCUGAAAGAAGCUACUGCCAUUAGGGAAUGCCAUUGCCUUGAAGGGGUGGACUUGUUUUUAGGUAGCUGGUACGUGUCACAGUAACAUCCACAUGCACCCAGCCAUCCACAUGAUGUAAAAGAAAACGCGAUUCAUCAGACCAGGCCACCUUCUUCCAUUGCUCCAUGGUCCAGUUCUGAUGCUCAUGUGCCCACUGUAUGUGUUUUCGGCAUACACAGCAAGCUGCAAUGCACUGUGUGUUCUGACACCUUUCUAUCAUAGUCAGCAUUAACUUUUUUAGCAGUUUGUGCUACAGUAGCUCUUUUGUGGGAUUGGACCAGAUAGCCUAGCCUUUGCUCCCCACAUGUAUCAAUGAGCCUUGGGCAAGUAAAGUUAGCAUUUUAAAGUCUGAUUAUGCCCAAAAGUGCAAAGGGAGAAAGUUACAUUUAAAGAUUCUUUUCCAUCUCAGACAUUUUGACAUUUGAUAGCAAACUGAACUGAUUACAUAUGUCCAUUUUGCUACAGCAGGUAGCUAUCUACCAACUUCAAAGCAUGAAAUUCAUUAUGUGAGUAAAUUGCAUUUAGCAAGGUUUUAGAUAUCAUUAGCCAGACUGACUGUUUUUACCAUCAUGUUUGUUAAGCUGAUUCCUUACCCAACAUGAUCUUUGCAGGAAGAUAGCUUGGGCAAGAUUAAAAAGUAUAUAAAAACAUUUCUGCAACAUUUUGAUAAAGUAUUUGAAUGGUUUUUAGAAGUUGAGGUCUCAAAGUAUGUUAUAGAUAGAAAAACCCAAUUUUGACCCAAUUUUUGCUCUGUAUUGCUCUGACUUCAGUUACAGAGUCAUCUGAUGGGCUUUCCCAGACUGCCACACAAAUUUCUGACACAAAAUGUUUAGCUUUAUUGUGAGCUUGUGUACAAACGCAGUUUGUAGAGAUGGAUUUGUCAAAAUUGCAAUAACAAAACUGCAAUAACUGCAAUAUAGCCAGUUGUCUUACAAAGCACAGAAAAAGAUUAUUAGUUGCCUAGCC